AUAGCCUCUCCAUUUUGAGGGAGGGAAACUUGCGGAAUCUUUUUUUUUUUUUUUUUUUUUUAAAGAAAGGCAGCCAAGGUAGUGACCUAAAAAUAGUCCCCAGACCUAUGAGUGUUGGCCUGUGAGGCUAAAGCACACACUGUUCAGCUGUAUGGCUUUGACCCUGGGUGGCCAGGGAGGUCAGCUUGACCCUGCCAUGUUGGUUUGAUGUGUGAAGUCACUGGGAUCAUUGUUUUUGUGACCAGGCUCUCAGCACCAUGGGCAGAAUAUUAAGUGAGAGAGUAUUUCUAUCCUGAUUAUUGACACACGAGAGACCAAAAGAAAUUUUGUGAACUUAGC
rnacentral:lncRNA from 1 species